CUACGGGCGGCUGCAGUGGGGAAUAUUGGACAAUGGGGGAAACCCUGAUCCAGCAAUGCCGCGUGUGUGAAGAAGGCCUGCGGGUUGUAAAGCACUUUCGGUUGGGAGGACUGCUUCUAGCACUAAUAUUGUUGGAAGUUGACGUUACCUUCAGCAGAAGCACCGGCUAACUCCGUGCCAGCAGCCGCGGUAAUACGGAGGGUGCAAGCGUAAUCGGAAUUACUGGGCGUAAAGCGCGCGUAGGCGGCUAGAUCAGUCGGGUGUGAACGCCCCGGGCUUAACCUGGGAACUGCAUCCGAUACUGUCUAGCUUGAGUACAGGAGAGGAGAGUGGAAUUCCACAUGUAGCGGUGAAAUGCGUAGAUAUGUGGAGGAACACCAAUGUCGAAGGCAGCUCUCUGGCCUGAUACUGACGCUGAGGUGCGAAAGCGUGGGGAGCAAACAGGAUUAGAUACCCUAGUAGUC
rnacentral:rRNA from 1 species